GGGAAUAUGGCUCAGUUGGUAGAGCAAAUGACUGUUAAUCAUUGGGUCACAGGUUCGAUCCCUGUUGUUUCCACCA
rnacentral:tRNA from 1 species